GACGAACGCUGGCGGCGUGCUUAACACAUGCAAGUCGAGCGGAAAGGCCCUUCGGGGUACUCGAGCGGCGAACGGGUGGGUGAGACGUGAGUAACCGGCCCUAGGCUUUGGGAUAACCCCGGGACACCGGGGCUAAUACCGGAUAUGACCUGGCGCCGCAUGGUGUUGGGUGGAAAGGUUGUGCCGCAUGGGGUGGGCUCGCAGCCUAUGAGCUUGGUGGUGGGGUGAUGGCCUACCAAGGAGAUGACGGGUAGCCCGCCUGAGAGGGCGACCGGCCACCCUGCGCCUGCGACACGGCCCAGUCGCCUACGGUACGCAGCAGUGGGGAAUAUUGCACAAUGGGCGGACGCGUGAUGCAGCGGCCCCGUGUUCGUGAUGCAGUCUUUCGGGUUGUAAACCUCUUUCAGCGGGGACGAAGCGUUAGUGACGGUACCUGCAGAAGAAGCGCCGGCCAACUACGUG
rnacentral:rRNA from 1 species